AUUGAACGCUGGCGGCAGGCCUAACACAUGCAAGUCGAACGAGCGGCGGAAGGGUGAGUAAUGUAUGGGGAUCUGACCGAUGGAGGGGGAUAACUACUGGCAACGGUAGCUAAUACCGCAUACUAUCGAAUGAACCAGUAUGGGAUUAGCUAGUAGGUGAGGUAAAGGCUCACCAAGGCGACGAUCCCUAGCUGGUCUGAGAGGAGGAUCAGCAACACUGGAACUGAGACAUGGCCCAGACUCCUACGGGAGGCAGCAGUGGGGAAUAUUGCACAAUGGGCGCAAGCCUGAUGCAGCCAUGCCGCGUGUAUGAAGAAGGCCUUAGGGUUGUAAAGUACUUUCAGCGGGGAGGCGUUACCCGCAGAAGAAGCACCGGCUAACUCCGUGCCAGCCGCCGCGGUAAUUC
rnacentral:rRNA from 1 species